rnacentral:rRNA from 1 species
UCUUGGAUUAUUGAAGACUAACUACUGCGAAAGCAUUUGCCAAGGGAUGUUUUCNCCCUUUAAGAACGAAAGUUAGGGGAUCGAAGACGAUCAGAUACCNCUUGUAGUCUUAACCAUAAACUAUGCCGACUAGGGAUCGGAUGAUGUUAAUUUUUUAAUGACUCA